UCCUAUAAAUUUAAGAGGAAUAAGAAAAUAUAAAUUAUAGAUGUACAUGCCAACUAAAUAGUAAACAAGUGAAAAAUAAUAAAUAUUUUAUAAAUACAAUCAGAUUAAUAAAGAUAAACAAUAACAUUGCAUAAAAACUAUCAAUUAGAUCACAUCUUAAAGGCAACACAUAACAUUGUGCAAUAUGCAAAAGCAUGACACAGCAUAAAUUAAAUAAUAAGAACAGGCAAAGAAUGUGCCAGCAGCUGCGGUUAAACAUUCUGUACUAAUUUUCAAGUUCUAACAAAUAUAAAAGAAUAUUAAUCAAAUAGAAAAUUGAACAACAACCAAUAAAUAGUAUAAUAUGAAAAUAAUAACUCAACCCAUUUAUUUUCUUAAUAAUAAUUCCUUUACAUAAAAGCAUAGAUAACAAAGAGGAUUAGAUACCCUCGUAGCCUAUGCCCUAAAUUCAAAAAAGUAUGCUCGCAAGACAGAAACUUAAUAAACUUGAGAGAGUAAUAAAAUUCGGGGAGGCGUAUACUUUAAUUCGAAAUUACACGACAACCUUACCUAAAUUCAAAAGCAGAAUAUCUCCGUAUAUUAUUUUUAUAAAAAUAAUAUUUAUACACACACAAGAAAUAUACCGGUCACCACUCUCUUUAUAUUUAGGGCUAGUAAGCACCACAAACUAUUAACAAGAAAUAAUAGCCCCAUAACUUGAAAAAAUACAAGGAGAACUCGAAAGUAAUUAUUUUUCAUGAAAAAAUAAUGAAACAAAAACAAUAAACUGCUACAUACCGCCCGUCAAUUCUUAAGAAUAUUAACAAACCAUAAACGUUAAAAUUACUAAACAUUAAUAAUUUACCAUUAUCCAUAAAAAAAAUUAAGAAUAAGUCGUAACAAGGUAGCUGUAUUUGAAAAUGCGGCUGAAAAUA
rnacentral:rRNA from 1 species